rnacentral:misc_RNA from 1 species
AGCAGCCGCGGUAAUUCCAGCUCCAAUAGCGUAUAUUAAAGUUGCUGCAGUUAAAAAGCUCGUAGUUGAAUUUCGGGACCAUCAUGUCGGUCGUGCCUCGGUACGUACUGGCAUUGUUGGUUUCUACCUUCUGACGAACCAUGAUGUCAUUUAUUUGGUGUCGUGGGAAAUCAGGACUGUUACUUUGAAAAAUUAGAGUGUUUAAAGCAGGCUCCCGCUUGAAUACAUUAGUAUGGAAUAAUGAAAUAGGACGUUUGAUUCUAUUUUGUUGGUUUCUAGGAUCGACGUAAUGAUUAAUAGGGAUAGUUGGGGGCAUUAGUAUUCAAUUGUCAGAGGUGAAAUUCUUGGAUUUAUUGAAGACUAACUACUGCGAAAGCAUUUGCCAAGGAUGUUUUCAUUAAUCAAGAACGAAAGUUAGGGGAUCGAAGACGAUCAGAUACCGUCGUAGUCUUAACCAUAAACUAUGCCGACUAGGGAUCGGAUGAUGUUAAUUUUUUAAUGUACUCAUUCGGCGCCUUAA